rnacentral:rRNA from 1 species
CCUGUCCGAGGGUCGCCU